GUCGAGCGCACUCUUCGGAGUGAGCGGCGGACGGGUUAGUAACGCGUGGGAACGUACCCAGAUCUAAGGAAUAGCCACUGGAAACGGUGAGUAAUACCUUAUACGCCCUUCGGGGGAAAGAUUUAUCGGAUUUGGAUCGGCCCGCGUUAGAUUAGAUAGUUGGUGGGGUAACGGCCUACCAAGUCUACGAUCUAUAGCUGGUUUUAGAGGAUGAUCAGCAACACUGGGACUGAGACACGGCCCAGACUCCUACGGGAGGCAGCAGUGGGGAAUCUUGGACAAUGGGCGCAAGCCUGAUCCAGCCAUGCCGCGUGAGUGAUGAAGGCCUUAGGGUCGUAAAGCUCUUUCGCCAGGGAUGAUAAUGACAGUACCUGGUAAAGAAACCCCGGCUAACUCCGUGCCAGCAGCCGCGGUAAUACGGAGGGGGUUAGCGUUGUUCGGAAUUACUGGGCGUAAAGCGCGCGUAGGCGGGUUGUUAAGUUAGAGGUGAAAUCCCGGGGCUCAACCCCGGAACUGCCUUUAAUACUGGCAACCUAGAGUUCGAGAGAGGUGAGUGGAAUUCCGAGUGUAGAGGUGAAAUUCGUAGAUAUUCGGAGGAACACCAGUGGCGAAGGCGGCUCACUGGCUCGAUACUGACGCUGAGGUGCGAAAGUGUGGGGAGCAAACAGGAUUAGAUACCCUGGUAGUCCACACCGUAAACGAUGAAUGCCAGUCGUCGGGUAGCAUGCUAUUCGGUGACACACCUAACGGAUUAAGCAUUCCGCCUGGGGAGUACGGUCGCAAGAU
rnacentral:rRNA from 1 species